rnacentral:snRNA from 1 species
UCAAUCACGACCUGGGAUGACUG